AACCGCCGCCUGCGCGCCGGCUGCCCCUCGGCUCCUGGGAGCCGCGGCGCUACGGGCCUGCCGAGCACUCGGGCGGGCGCCGAGCAGGCUGGGCCCCGGCGCAGUGGCCUAGCCUGGACCGCAAGGCCGAAGCCGCCUCCGGGCCGCGUCCCGGUGUUUCGGGUUGUGUAACCUUGGCCAAAAUGCUUAAGCUUUUUUCCUGGCUGCCAAAUGGGGCCGAUCGUCUGACCUGCUGCCUCCGGAACUUGAGGGAUCAGAUCAAAUAACCCUUUCCUGGCGCUCGUCUGCCGCUGUGAAUGAAUCACGGGCUCCUGUAAUCACCGUUAGGAGAGAUUGUUAAACUCGUACAGGGUUGGAUGUUUUAAAGUUACUGAAUAUUUACUGGACCCCUACUGUUCAAUCAAGACAUGCUAAGUUAGCUUGCCAUUCUUGUUCAUUUAUGUGUUUACUUAACUAUUUCUGGGUCUCCUCUUCCCAGUCAUAAAUAUCUCUUGGAGUGUAAGCUCCUCGGAGCAGAGAUCCUGUUUCCGUAUUUCCUGUACCUAGAACAGUGCCAGAUCCGUAGUAGACACUGAAACAAAAAAUCUUUAAAAAAAAAAAAAUAUACGAAUGUGGCACCACCAUUUACACAGGCCACUAAGCCAAAAAUCUCGAACUUGUCAGAUUGUCUCUUCUCAGCCAUCAGCAGUCAACAAGUUCUAGCAUUUGGUCUCUUAAAAGUGGUUCAAGAGUUUAUUUUUCCUCUCCUUCCUCUGCCAGUACCAACCAGUCUUCCGUAUCACUAUGUAUUGCAAGAGUCUCACAAGAAGAUAUCCAUCACUGACUGAUCUUCCUCCCGUUUAACAUCCCCAACAGGGCCCUUGUGACUGGACCUCAUGCCAAACAACUCGUUACAAAAAGAGCUAGGGUUCCAGACUGCGCCGAAGCUUCAUGAGACCUCUCCUUGUCUGCAUGGACGAGUGGCCAACUCUGGAGCCCAGGCUGUUGCUUCCCAGUCUGGUGGUGAAUCCUCCAUAGUCUGGUGAGUGUAAAUACAUAUAUAUAUCUUUUCCCUUCUCCCUUCCCAUUGCAAUUUGCUUAUUAUAUCAUUUGCUUAUAUCUGCACUGCCAUUUGGGAUAAAGCUUGUUUACCCUUAAAGGUAUUGUGUGUGUGUCUCCUCCCGCGCGCAUUUCCCACACAGAACACCUAAGAACCUAUUUUUUAUGAUUUUUACGAGAAGUGAAUUCCAAGUUGUGCCUCAGAAUUCAGAAUAUAUCUUUCAACCUCCUACUCAUCCCCUCACCACCCUGGUGAACACAGUGUCUGGCCAGCAGGAAUGAAUGAAGAAGACUAUUUUAUGUUCUUAAUAACUUGCUUGGAAAUGAACAGAGCACAAUUUAUCAAACCAAAGCAAAUAUUUAUACAGGCAGAUCCCUUAAAAUUGAGGAUUAAUGCUUAGGAAGAAUUUUUUAGAAUUUUCCAAAUUAACCACUUGUCUUUCUCAGAAAUAAAUCUGUUACUGAUGCUUCCUCCACCAACCAGCUGCAAAACCACACACUAUUCUUUGAAGGAGGAACACAGAAAACCAACUUACUUCCUGGGGCAUUUGGGAGAGGAAUCUAAAAAUCCUAGUGAUAUGGCAAUGACUAGAACCUUUUUUUUUUUUGUAACAACAAAGCUAAAAGGGGAUGUGUAACUUAGCUUGACUUGUAAAAAUAUUCGUAGAAGUCAUCUAUAUUUUACCACUUUGUGUAACUAAGGCAGAGCAUUAGAGAUUAUUCACAUCAUUAAAUAUGUCCAGUUAAAUUAUUAGAUUACAACACCAACCUCUUGUUCAUAGUCUCUCAGUCUUCAGCUGGGCACGGGGGCUCACGCCUGUAAUGCCACCACUUUGGGAUGCCGAGACGGGCGGAUCACUUGAGGUCAGGAGUUUGAGACCAACCUGGGCAACAUGGUGAAACCCCGUCUCUACUAAAAAUACAAAAAUUAGCUAGGCGUGGUGGCAGGUGCCUAUAAUCCCAGCCACUCGGGAGGCUGAGGCGGGAGAAUCACUGGAACCCAAGAGGUGGAAAUUGCAGUAAGCCAAGAUGGCACCACUGCACUCCAGCCUGGGUGACAAGAGCAAAACUCUUGUCUCAAAAAAAAAAAAAAAAAAAUAGUCUCUCAGUCUUCAUACUUUGUUGCUUAGUUGGAUUAUCUGCUCCUAGGUUUUAAUAUAAGAUGAAAUAAAAGUGCUGGCCUAGGAAUUGGAGGCCAAUUUACCUUAGGGGCAAAGGCAAUGGUGGUGAAUAUACCCAACAGCUUCACUUUCUAUGGAGCCAGCUUGUAAAAUCUUGGGCAAGGAUGGUGGCAGCAGAGCUGUCUGCCUAAGCAUCAUGUAGAAAAUUUUUUAAUGGUUUCUUUGGACCCUAGCUUGCAGUGUCAUUUCUGCUUCUCAUUGUAUUGGAAAUCCAUGGUUUUGUUACAUAAUGUACUCCUAAAAAUGUAUACACAUGUGUUGAGUAUGUGGAAGUUGAAUAUAUUUAUGUUAUAAAUGAGCAGUUCUGUUUCUGGAAAAUGAAAAUUUUCACCUCAUCACUACAGACAUUCUUUGAUAACACAGUCCCAGUGUUUCAUCCAGAUUAUUUCAUUUUCUUCUUUUACAUAUAACCAACCAUUUUGGAUGUUAAAGGAACAACCAGUGAGGGCUUAAGAUCUGCUGCUUUUGACUUGGCACUCCUGAUCAGUUCCAUCCGUGUCUCAAGUGUAUCACAUUCACGAGACAAGGCUUCUCAUCAGCAAUUUCAAUUUUAUGUUUUCUACUUAUUUUUAUAUAAGAAUACAAUGCAACAAAAUAUUCAUAUAUUGCAC
rnacentral:lncRNA from 1 species